rnacentral:rRNA from 1 species
GUGGGGAAUAUUUGACAAUGGGCGCAAGCCUGAUCCAGCCAUACCGCGUGGGUGAAGAAGGCCUUCGGGUUGUAAAGCCCUUUUGUUGGGAAAGAAAUCCUGUCGGUUAAUACCUGGCGGGGAUGACGGUACCCAAAGAAUAAGCACCGGCUAACUUCGUGCCAGCAGCCGCGGUAAUACGAAGGGUGCAAGCGUUACUCGGAAUUACUGGGCGUAAAGCGUGCGUAGGUGGUGGUUUAAGUCCGUUGUGAAAGCCCUGGGCUCAACCUGGGAAUUGCAGUGGAUACUGGAUCACUAGAGUGUGGUAGAGGGAUGCGGAAUUUCUGGUGUAGCAGUGAAAUGCGUAGAGAUCAGAAGGAACAUCCGUGGCGAGGGCGGCAUCCUGGGCCAACACUGACACUGAGGCACGAAAGCGUGGGGAGCAAACAGGAUUAGAUACCCGUGUAGUCC